rnacentral:rRNA from 1 species
AAACCAGCACCUCAAGUGGUCAGGAUGAUUAUUGGGCCUAAAGCAUCCGUAGCCGGCUCUGUAAGUUUUCGGUCAAAUCUGUACGCUCAACGUACAGGCUGCCGGGAAUACUGCAGAGCUAGGGAGUGGGAGAGGUAGACGGUACUCGGGAGGAAGGGGUAAAAUCCUUUGAUCUCUCGAUGACCACCUGUGGCGAAGGCGGUCUACCAGAACACGUCCGACGGUGAGGGAUGAAAGCUGGGGGAGCAAACCGGAUUAGAAACCCCAGUAGUCC